UACGUAGGGGGCAAGCGUUGUCCGGAAUUAUUGGGCGUAAAGAGCGCGUAGGCGGUCCGAUAAGUCGGCUGUGAAAGUCAGGGGCUCAACCCUUGAAAGCCGGCCGAUACUGUCGGACUAGAGUCCGGAAGAGGCAAGUGGAAUUCCCGGUGUAGCGGUGAAAUGCGCAGAUAUCGGGAGGAACACCAAUGGCGAAGGCAGCUUGCUGGGACGGUACUGACGCUGAGGCGCGAAAGCGUGGGGAGCAAAAGGG
rnacentral:rRNA from 1 species